UAGGGAAUCUUGGGCAAUGGGGGAAACCCUGACCCAGCAACGCCGCGUGAGGGAUGAAGGCCUUCGGGUCGUAAACCUCUGUCGGGAGGGAAGAACCGUCCCGGGUCGAAUAGGCUCGGGGCCUGACGGUACCUCCAAAGGAAGCGCCGGCUAACUCCGUGCCAGCAGCCGCGGUAAUACGGAGGGCGCAAGCGUUGUUCGGAAUCAUUGGGCGUAAAGCGCGUGUAGGCGGCUUGGCAAGUCGGGUGUGAAAGCCCGGGGCUCAACCCCGGAACUGCAUUCGAAACUGCCUCGCUAGAGUCCCGGAGAGGAAGGCAGAAUUCCCGGUGUAGAGGUGAAAUUCGUAGAUAUCGGGAGGAAUACCAGUGGCGAAGGCGGCCUUCUGGACGGCGACUGACGCUGAGACGCGAAAGCGUGGGGAGCAAACAGGAUUAGAUACCCCCGUAGUCC
rnacentral:rRNA from 1 species